UUCUUUCUGAACACAGGUUUUUUUUAUUUCACUUCACAUUGAAGGAUGAGAGAAGUCAUCAGGGAGUUCUCAGGAUGGGGAUGCAGCAUCAAUGGACAAGAAGAGGUCAUGUGGAGAGGAAAGAGGACAAGGCAGCAGAGAACGGCAGGGCUGUUCCUGCUGAGUGCUGCGCUGCCCGGGGCGGUCACUUCUGCUGGCCAGGAAAGUAGCAGGCCUGCUUGGUCUGGUGGCUCUCGAUGUGAGGAAUGACAAUGGGACAUUUCUGCUGCGAGGACUGGCCGUACCCACCACUGCCUCCUCCGGAGCUGAUGAUGAUGGUGUGGCCCGAGGAACCGCCACUGCCCCCACUGGAUCCCCCACCGCAGCAUCCGGAGGAUCCCCCACUGCUUCCACCUCCUCCAAUGAUGAUCUUGCCUCCAGAAGAUCCACCACUGCUGGAUCCCCCACCACAGCAUCCAGAUGAGCCACCUCCUCCACCUCCAGAGCUAAUGAUGAUCUUCUGGCCUGAUCCCCCACUGCCAUAGCUGGAAGAGCCAUAGCCUGAAGAGCCAUAGCCAGAAGAGCCACCACCGCAGCAUCCAGAGGAACCACCACUGCUUCCACCUCCAAUGAUGCUCUUGGAUCCCGAGUAACCACCACUAGAUCCUCCACCCAUUCCAUAGCUGGAUCCCCCACUACAGCAUCCAGAGGAUCCCCCACUGCUCCCACCUCCAGUAAUGAUGAUCUUUCCUUCUGAAGAGCCACCACUGCUGGAUCCCCCACCACAGCAACCAGAGGAUCCACCACUGCUCCCACCUCCAAUGAUGCUCUUGGAUCCCGAGUAACCACCACUGCUGUAUCCUCCUCCUAUUCCGUAGCCCGAGGAGCCUCCACUGCAGCACCCAGAGGAUCCCCCACUGCUUCCACCUCCUCCAAUGAUGCUCUUGGAUCCUGAGUAACCACCACUGCUGUAUCCUCCUCCUAUUCCGUAGCCCGAGGAGCCUCCACUGCAGCACCCAGAGGAUCCCCCACUGCUCCCACCUCCAGUAAUUAUGAUCUUUCCUCCUGAAGAGCCACUACUGCUGGAUCCCCCACCACAGCAACCAGAGGAUCCACCACUGCUUCCACCUCCUCCAAUGAUGCUCUUGGAGCCUGAGUAACCACCACUGCUGUAUCCUCCUCCUAUUCCGUAGCCCGAGGAGCCUCCACUGCAGCACCCAGAGGAUCCCCCACUGCUUCCACCUCCUGUAAUUAUGAUCUUGCCACCUGAAGAGCCACCACUGCUGGAUCCCCCACCACAGCAUCCAGAUGAGCCACCUCCUCCUCCUCCUCCAGAGCUAAUGAUGAUCUUCUGGCCUGAUCCCCCACUGCCAUAGCUGGAAGAGCCAUAGCCUGAAGUGCCAUAGCCAGAAGAGCCACCACCGCAGCAUCCAGAGGAACCUCCACUGCUUCCACCUCCAAUGAUGCUCUUCGAUCCUGAUGAUCCACUGCUAUAUCCACCCCCGUAGCUGGAUCCCCCACUACAGCAUCCUGAGGAUCCUCCACUGCUUCCACCUCCUGUAAUUAUGAUCUUGCCACCUGAAGACCCACCACUGCUGGAUCCCCCACCACAGCAUCCAGAGGAUCCACCACUGCUUCCACCUCCUCCAAUGAUGCUCUUGGAUCCCGAGUAACCACCACUGCUGUAUCCUCCUCCUAUUCCGUAGCCCGAGGAGCCUCCACUGCAGCACCCAGAGGAUCCCCCACUGCUCCCACCUCCAGUAAUUAUGAUCUUGCCACCUGAAGACCCACCACUGCUGGAUCCUCCACCACAGCAUCCAGAGGAUCCACCACUGCUUCCACCUCCUCCAAUGAUGCUCUUGGAUCCCGAGUAACCACCACUGCUGUAUCCUCCUCCUAUUCCGUAGCCCGAGGAGCCUCCACUGCAGCACCCAGAGGAUCCCCCACUACUUCCACCUCCUCCAAUGAUGAUCUUGCCUCCUGAAGACCCACCACUGCUGGAUCCUCCACCACAGCAUCCAGACGAACCUCCUCCUCCUCCUCCUGAGCUAAUGAUGAUCUUCUGGCUCGAUCCCCCACUGCCACCACUGUAUCCUCCUCCCAUGCUGUAUCCCGAGGAGCCCCCGCAGCAGGAGGAGCCCUGUGCCUGGUAGCUGGAGGAGCUGCCCCCACUGCAGCAUCCCCCGGACUGGGAAGAUGACUCAUGGCAGCCUCCGGAGCUCUGUCGGGAACACAUCUCUGUGCAGUGGCCCUGCAAGAAAGCAUAUAUUUGUUACUGAAAAGAAGACACUACUAUCAAAAUGAUCCCUGCCUCCAGGAUCAUUGGUCCAUUGAAAGAAUAUUUCCCAGCAUUCACUGAAUUUCCUUCCAGAUAACUGUCACCCAUGUAUUCCAACCACAUAUAAAGCCUUUACUCUCAGGACAGCACAGGACUACUGAAGAUAAUGAAGCUAAACUCCUCAAUUUAGAGACUUUUUCCAAAAAUGUUCCCUCUGGAUCUCUGUCCUCAUAAUUUCCAGUAUCAUGGGGCGAUCCUUCGUCAGCUAAUAUCCUCAAGAAAUUUAAAUUCGCCAAAACAACCUCCCUAAGCUUCAAGUCACCACCCAUCUGGUGUGCUCCACCAAGGCGGUUCUGUUUUGCAAGCACAAAAAUCAGAAGAAUUGCUCCCGUAAGCAGAAAUGGACUUACCCUUCUUGGUUCUGAUGACACGUUCAACAGCGCAACUCUGAGCGAGUGAUGGACUACAGAACCAAGC
ensembl:lncRNA